AGAGAAGUCUCCAGGAGCUGAUCCAGUCUACUCUGCAGUGAAGACCUCCAACACCACAGUUCCAGGUGAUGUGACCUAUGCUGACAUCAACCACACAGAGAAGAGACAACACAACAGGAGGAGAGAGAACGUCGUUCCAGACCCUGUCUACUCAGCAGUGAAGACAGACAGACAGAGAAACAGGUAGAGCUGUAUCUGGAUCCAGGGACGUAAUGUACAGAGAG